UACGAAGGGGGCUAGCGUUGCUCGGAAUUACUGGGCGUAAAGCGUGCGCAGGCGGUUCGUUGUGUCGGCGGUGAAAGCCCCGGGCUUAACCUGGGAAUGGCCGUCGAAACUGGCGAACUGGAGUGUGGCAGAGGGGGUGGAAUCCACGUGUAGCAGUGAAAUGCGUAGAGAUGUGGAGGAACACCGAUGGCGAAGGCAGCCCCCUGGGCCAAUACUGACGCUCAUGCACGAAAGCGUGGGGAGCAAACAGG
rnacentral:rRNA from 1 species